rnacentral:rRNA from 1 species
ACGGGUGCGUAACGCGUGGGAACCUGCCUUUCGGUUCGGAAUAAUCCCUGGAAACUGGUGCUAAUACCGGAUGAUCCCUUCGGGGGAAAGAUUUUGCCUGAGGAUGAGCCCGCGUCUGAUUAGGUAGUUGGUGGGGUAAAGGCUCAUCAAGGCGACGAUCCAUAGCUGGUCUGAGAGGAUGAUCAGCCACAUUGGGACUGAGACACGGCCCAAACUCCUACGGGAGGCAGCAGUGGGGAAUAUUGGACAAUGGGCGCAAGCCUGAUCCAGCCAUGCCGCGUGAGUGAUGAAGGCCUUAGGGUUGUAAAGCUCUUUUGUCCGGGAAGAUAAUGACUGUACCGGAAGAAUAAGCCCCGGCUAACUUCGUGCCAGCAGCCGCGGUAAUACGAAGGGGGCUAGCGUUGCUCGGAAUCACUGGGCGUAAAGGGCGCGUAGGCGGACUUUUAAGUCGGAGGUGAAAGCCUGGGGCUCAACUCUGGAAUUGCCUUCGAUACUGGGAGUCUUGAGUUCGGGAGAGGUUGGUGGAACUGCGAGUGUAGAGGUGAAAUUCGUAGA